UUUUACUUUGAAGAAAUUAGAGUGUUCCUGGCAGGCUUAGCUUGCAUAUAUUAGCAUGGAAUAAUGGAAUAGGACCUUGUCUGUUUUAUUGGUUGACAGAUAGGUAAUGAUUAACAGGGACAGUCGGGGGCAUUCGUACUCAGUGGCUAGAGGUGAAAUUCUUAGAUUCGCUGAAGACGAACUAAUGCGAAAGCAUUUGCCAAGGAUGUUUUCAUUAAUCAAGAACGAAAGUUAGGGGAUCAAAGACGAUUAGAUACCGUCGUAGUCCUAGCCAUAAACUAUACCGACUAGGGAUUGGUGUGGGUCAUAAUCCAUAUCAGCACCUAAUGAGAAAUCAAAAGUCUUUGGGUUCUGGGGGAGUAUGGUCGCAAGGCUGAAACUUAAAGGAAUUGACGGAAGGGCACCACCAGGAGUGGAGCCUGCGGCUUAAUUUGAUUCAACACGGG
rnacentral:rRNA from 1 species